CCUACGGGAGGCAGCAGUGGGGAAUAUUGCACAAUGGGGGGAAACCCUGAUGCAGCGACGCCGCGUGGAGGAAGAAGGUCUUUCGGAUUGUAAACUCCUGUUGUUGAGGAAGAUAAUGACGGUACUCAACAAGGAAGUGACGGCUAACUACGUGCCAGCA
rnacentral:rRNA from 1 species